rnacentral:rRNA from 1 species
GGAGUCUGGGCCGUGUCUCAGUCCCAAUGUGGCCGUUGUGCCUCUCAGCUCGGCUACUGAUCAUCGCUUUGGUAGGCCGUUGCCCCACCAACUGGCUAAUCAGCCGCGAGCCCAUCUCAGAGCGGAUUACUCCUUUGGCUGUAUCACCAUGUGGUGUUACAGCAUUAUGCGGUAUUAGCACUGAUUUCUCAAUGUUAUCCCCCU